rnacentral:rRNA from 1 species
AAAAGAACUUUGAAGAAAGAGUUCAAGAGUGCGUGAAACCGUUUAUAGGUAAACAAAAAGCGCAAGCUGUGGAUAAUGGGGCACUCUCUAGGCUCUAUAUAAGGCAAAGUAUGUUUUGUGUAAUGUAAUGAUUAUUUAUAAUCAAAAAGCCAAUAUAUGCUUAUUGUCUAUAAUAGCAAGUCUAGUCUUCUCCCCAUCCACUAUCGCAACACAUUGGUUGUUUAACUAAUCUUCCAAUAGCUCUUUGCAAUGCUGGUUAGUUUAUUUAGAACUUGUUUUGAAUUUUCUUUCCAAUGCUUAGAUGUCUAGGUAAGAGACCGAUGGUAGUUGAAAUACUUGAUAUUAUAUUAGCAAUUUAUUGCUUAAAUUAUUCGCUUGAUAGGCGGAUUGUUAGGGCAUUAUGAAUGUAUUUUAUGUUCAGUGUUUCUUUCAUUCAUUUAUCAAAGUGAUUAAUACAUUUAAAUAAAUAUAAAAUAUUUUGCGAUAUUUAAAGCAUUGUGCUUUUUGACCCGUCUUGAAACACGGACCAAGGAGUCUAACAUGUGCGCAAGUCAUUGGGUAUUAAAUAAACCUACAGGCGAAAUGAAAAGUAAAGUUGAUUGUCUAACAAACAGUUGAUUAUGGAAGAUCCUAUGCUUAUUCCUACAAAGUUUUGGCAUAGGCGCAUUCCAGGGGCACUAUGAAUGCUUGCUUGCAAGUACAUUGUAGUGCACCAAGAGCGUACACGUUGGGACCCGAAAGAUGGUGAACUAUGCCUGGUAAGGUUGAAGCCAGAGGAAACUCUGGUGGAGGACCGCUUCGAUUCUGACGUGCAAAUCGAUCGUCAGAGCUGGGGUAUAGGGGGCGAAAGACUAAUCGAACCAUC